rnacentral:lncRNA from 1 species
AUAUAGGGUACCAGUAUUAGAGUUUACAUCAUAUUAAUACAUUUCUGAUUUACUGGUAUGUAAACUCUGCUUGCUUUUUCAGGGUAUGCGUGGCAUGUGGCUCUGGAGCAUAACAUUGUUUUCUUUCGCCUUGUUCCUAAGAGGGGAGGAACCACUCAGAUUAAAAGUGAGGCAUUUGAAAUUGCCAGCCAACUUUGCAGCUGAUUCUGGUGAAUUGCCAAAGAGAAUUGACAUAAAACUACCAUGGUCAAAAGCAGACCGAAAAGCAAAAGCUGGAUUAUUUAUUGGGUUUAUACUUCACAAAUUUAGUUAUUGCAACAUGGUGAACAUGGAAUAUAUUAUGGUGAAUACAUGUACAUGUAUGUGUUUUUUUCCUUACUCUCCAAAGGCAAAAUAUGUGAGCCAUAUUAACUAUAUUUUAGAACAUUAAUCAAUCCUGAAUUGUAAUAAAAAAAAGGCGCAGGACCACCAUUUAUUGCCAAGUUGAUUUACAACUAUAACCUAUUCCAAAAAAAUGUACUCCCUAACUUCUUUUCAACUUCCCAUGCUUACACUUUUAAAAUUUAGACUUCUCAAAACAGACUACAAUCUUUUAAUGGUACCAUCUUUAGCAGUCAUUAAUUCAACUGAGAAUAUUUUGCAAUCUUUUCAUUUCAGGGGUGACACUCACUCUUUGGGCUAACCCAUUGAACCCUGAGUUAUGUCCCGUAACCGCUCUUCUUGUGUGGUUGUUGAUAACAGGUUGGUGGAUUAUUUGUUAAGUUUAACCUUAUUCGCAGUAUUAAAAGUGGAACUAGAGUUCCUUUAACUGUGGUAAAUGAGCUCUUUUCUCUCUACGUUCUGAAGAUAUUUUGAGCAGCAUAUCUUGGCAUCUAUUUAAUUAAUAGCUCUUGAUUUUUUUUUGGGUCUCAAGCAGGUAUUAGGAAAGGUUUCAUUUUUUCCAAGGGUAGCUAAAAACAACCAUGCAGUUCAUGGGAACUCAGCUUGUGGUGUCACAACCUACAGGAAAACCUUUCUCCAGAUUUCCAAGACACUUUUUGAAAAGGAUUUUACUACUCAUAGCAUAAGAAGAUCAGCAGCCCAAUGGGCUGCCCGCUGUGGAGCUGAUGAUAGCACCAUCAAAAGGGCUGGCAGACAGUAUGUGAGACAGUAAUAUAUCAAACAUGAUAGACAGUGAAAUCAUCAAAAUCUAUGCUAAUUAGGACUGGGUAUCCAAACCUUCUUCAUAACUGUGAUUUUCUAUGUUUUAACUUGAUCAGGGUAGUACUAGUACAAUGAGACAGACAUCAGCAAAGUACUUUGUUCUUACAUGUGUAUAGUACAGGGGUAUUCCUGUGAUGUGUGAUGUAGCAGCUGAUUUUAGUUUCUGUGAAAUGCAAAUUUUAAGAAAUUUUUCUUUGUGAUCCAUGACCUGAAGGAUUUGUAUGACCUGGAAAAAGGAAAGUAUUUUAUCCACAAUUCUCUACUUUUAAUUAUCCGUUUGUGAACUGUGCCAGAGAACCCCUGUGUGACCGUCUUCUGAUCUUUUCUAAAGAAGAGCAAAAUAAUGUUGCUUGUAGGAUUGGCAAUAACUACAAAAAAAACAAACUUGCAAACUCAAGACAGUUUUGCCACCAACUGGGGGUUGAAGCACUCUUGAUAUCUUUGUGUUCAUUCUCAAUCCAUAAAUUGUUUUAAAAGGGGAAUUAUUCUUGUCACGUUUUUGUUGAAAAUGUGAAAACUUGUUAAUAAUUUAUAAAGGCUCUUUAAAGCACUUUAGAAUGAGAGUUAGCAAUGUAAAAAGUGAACGACGUUACCAUGACUCCAUGUCAUCAUUAUCAAGUUCGAAACACAUGAUGGAAUUGAGUAAAUAUAAAUAGUAAAAAUAGUGUGAUAAUAGUUGGGGAAUUAAAUGGGUGUUAAAGUAUUCAAUUGUAAUGUCAAGAGUUUGGCAUGACCUGAAUCUGACUGUGUGUUAAGUUUUGGUUUUAUGUUCCUAAUGAACAGCAUCUGUUAGAUCAAGCAGUCAAAUUUUGUGCAUCAUUUCUUUAACACUUUAAAUGUUGUAAGUAUUUUGAACUUGAUAAUGAUGACAUGGAGUCAUCGGAAUGUCAUUCACGUUUUACAUUGCUAAUUUUCAUUCUAAAUUAUUUCUUAACUUAUUUUGUAUUUGAUCAGGAAGUCCAAUAGUUUUGAGUUGUACACUCAAGAUGCUAGGGCUGAACUAAUCAAAGAACAGCAUGAUGGGACCCCAGCAUUGGACCACCAACUCUGGAUGUUUAAACCUCUUAGAUAAUAAAUUAGUAUAAUCCAGAGACCAUUCAUUCACAACUAAAUGUUCAUUGAAAGUGUUCAUUAUUUAUUGUUUUGGUUUUGAUUUCUGUAAUUUUACCUGAGUGCAUGUGCCUUGGGGGCACUCUAUCAAAAAUUCAACCUGCCUUGCAAUGCCAAUUGGAUUAUAAGUUUGCCUUACAGUCUGUCACUGGAUUAUACUAAUUAAGGUUAUAUUCCUUUUUGUCCAACACCAUUUGGUUGAACUGCGAAGAAAUAGAUAUCUCAAACUGAAGAACUAGCAAGAAAUUUCAAUGAUAGAUAAAUUUAAUACGUUUUGUAGGCAGGAAAUGAAAAAAGUCAUUUUCAUUUUUAGGACAUAGCUUGUUGACAUUAUUAACUCAAAUGUUUUGAUAUUUCAACCAAUGAAAUCAACUGUUUGGUCUUUGACAGUGAUGUAUCUCUGGAUGACAUUAGUGGCCAUUUGAUUCAGAAAACUUGUUUAGGAGUAAGUGGACAGAGGACAUAUCGGAAAAGUAAUUCAGGCUGUUGGAGUCUCAAAACACUUUUGUGGCAAUAAUGGAAUGUAACAGUCAAAGCUGUUUUAAGUAUGUUUUUGUCAUAAUGUACAGUUCUCAUGUUUUAUUAGUGCCUUAAGAAAUAGCAACAGAAAGAUUCCAUGAUUAAUUACCCAGGACAACUAUUACUAAUUUAAGGUGGCUCAAAACAGUUUCCAGCACUUUGUGAUGGAUCAUUUUUACCAAUCUUUAUCAACUGAUGCUACAAUCACAGUAACACAAAACUGCCCAUUCAUUGGUGAACAUGUUACAAUCAUUUUCAUGUAACAAUAGGUUACCAAGGUUGCCUAAAACCCUAUGUACAGUAUUUUUUAAAACUUUUACAAAAGCUGCAUCUUAUCCUGCUAUUCAAAAUUUGACAAUAUAAAAAUAUUUCACCACGCAGUUUUUGAAUUAUAUGCCCUUAAAGCUAAAAUUAAGGUUGCUUUUAGCAGGUUAUACAUUUGCAAUAGUAAUCUGUUGUGUCACGAAAAUAAUUACGUGUUUACCGAUGAUGAGGCAGUUUUUUGUUACCACGAUUGUAGCAUCAAUUGAUAAAAAACGGUUAUAAUGACCCAUCAAAAUUUAAGUCUUCGAAAGUGCUGGAAACUGUUUUGAGCCACCUUUAACUCUAAUUUCUUCUACAAAUGAUAUGUAUUCCUGUAGAGAAACCUAAAUCACAUUAAUUGAAAAACUUUUAAUUAUUGAGGUUGGAUGCUUUUGAAUUAAAUAAAAUCCUGAUAACUUUUAUCCAACAUAACAUUUUCUUACAAAUACUUUACCACUAGGCAGUUGAGAUCUUGAUGAAAAUUAAUAAGAAGCUAUAAUUGUAUAAUAUAUGAGUAUAAUUUAUGACCAUCACAUGUCAAUGUUUUGAGGGAUCAUACAAGAAAUUUAUUCUAUUUUAGACAAAAUUCAAGUGGUGUAUUUUUUUUUAACAAUCAAAUGUACAUAAUUCAGUGUAAAGUUAUAAAAUGAAUACCAAGAUCAGUAUAUCGAUAUUAUAGGGUUAAUGCUGUUGUUCCAGCACAUAUGCAAUAAAGUUUCAAUCUCUGGUUUUACAUCUGAACAUUUGCCGUGUUUUGCUAUUACAUUUAUUUCCUAAUACAGUCAAAGCUCUUCUUGCAGCCUUUCUUGUAAGUGGCCUUCUCUAGCAUUUGAAAAUGAUUGCUAAUCCCCUAAGCAGCCAACUUGUAAUUUGGGAAUCCCUUUUGUAUUCAAAAUUUAAAUUUUCUUGUAAACAGCAACGUUAAAAUUAGAGCGGUUUUCAAUU